GGGGUUCUGAUCUCCAGAGGACGUCAAGAUCGAGAGUGUUCCACGGCAAGAAUUAGGUCGGCAUUGAGACACCAUGAGAUCAACGCCUCUGCUUCAUGAGAUGUCAGUCCUUCAAUUAGGAAAGAUGUCUAAGCAUUCGUUUUGGACGGAACGGGGUGGCCAGGUUAAAGUACACAUUACCCGGAAGGACAUGACCUACGAAGUGAGCUAGCACCUUGAUUCGUUCCUAAAUUGGGGAUCAUGGGCUGUUCAUCAGCAGCAUUUAAGGGUGAGGUCAGCCUUUCUUCUCCUUUUAGCUGGUUUGAGGAAGGGAAGUGAUGCUGUAUUGAUGAUAAACUCUUAAAGAAGCUGAUCAGCUAAUAUUAGAAACAUGUCAUUGAGGUGCUGUCCAGUGGGUCUUGGACCAGGUGGUGAGGAAGGAACCAAUUGAAGCGAGAAGCUCAU